rnacentral:rRNA from 1 species
AAUACCGGCGAAAGUCGGACUAAUACCGUAUGAUAUCCUAUGCAGGCAUCUAACUAGGAUUAAAGGUUUAGCGGUAAGGGAUGGGGAUGCGUCUGAUUAGGCAGUUGGCGGGGUAACGGCCCACCAAACCGACGAUCAGUAGGGGUUCUGAGAGGAAGGUCCCCCACAUUGGAACUGAGACACGGUCCAAACUCCUACGGGAGGCAGCAGCG